GAUCAUGGCUCAGGAUGAACGCUAGCUACAGGCUUAACACAUGCAAGUCGAGGGGCAGCAUUUUUAUAGCAAUAUAAAAGAUGGCGACCGGCGCAUGGGCGAGUAACACGUAUCCAACCUGCCGAUAACUCGGGGAUAACCCUUCGAAAGAAGGCCUAAUACCCGAUGGCAUAUCCCUUCCGCCUGGUUGGGAUAUUAAAGAACUUCGGUUAUCGAUGGGGAUGCGUUCCAUUAGCUUGUUGGCGGGGUAACGG
rnacentral:rRNA from 1 species